rnacentral:tRNA from 1 species
GUUUAGAUAGCUCAAAUGGUUAGAGCAAAGGAUUGAAAAUCCUUGGGUUAACAGUUCAAGUCUGUUUCUAGAUA